AAUAGAUACCCGGGUAGUCCACGCCGUAAACGGUGGGCACUAGGUGUGGGCGACAUUCCACGUCGUCCGUGCCGCAGCUAACGCAUUAAGUGCCCCGCCUGGGGAGUACGGCCGCAAGGCUAAAACUCAAAGGAAUUGGACGGGGGCCCGCACAAGCGGCGGAGCAUGUGGCUUAAUUCGACGCAACGCGAAGAACCUUACCAAGGCUUGACAUACACCGGAAACGUCCAGAGAUGGGCGCCCCCUUGUGGUCGGUGUACAGGUGGUGCAUGGCUGUCGUCAGCUCGUGUCGUGAGAUGUUGGGUUAAGUCCCGCAACGAGCGCAACCCUUGUCCCGUGUUGCCAGCAGGCCCUUGUGGUGCUGGGGACUCACGGGGAGACCGCCGGGGUCAACUCGGAGGAAGGUGGGGACGACGUCAAGUCAUCAUGCCCCUUAUGUCUUGGGCUGCACACGUGCUACAAUGGCCGGUACAAUGAGCUGCGAUACCGCGAGGUGGAGCGAAUCUCAAAAAGCCGGUCUCAGUUCGGAUUGGGGUCUGCAACG
rnacentral:rRNA from 1 species